AGAUUAGUAAUAAUAGUAGUGGUGGUAGUAAUUGUAAUUUAUCUACUACAAGUUACAUGGUCAGAGAUAAAAUGUAUUUGUACAAUGCAACUAUGUGGUAGGAUGAUAGAAAUGACCAAAUGCAAUUGUGUAACGAACAGCAUGGAUGAACUCUGUUUAAAUACACAUAGCUGCAGGAGUAGGGACAUCCAGUAGUGGUACUCCAGGGACCAGUGACACACAGCCUGCAUCAAGUGAGUCUAUUUAAUAGUAUUUAUUCAAGCCACAUCCAUACUUUAAAGUACAACAGAAAAAGUUUAGCAUGUAUUAAAAUACAAUAAGAAGUCAACCACAUUCAUCAUUUCACUCACUGCUUGUCUGGCUAUACAAUAUGCUUGUAUACAGGUGAAGGUGAAGGGACACCCAGGACCACAUCAAGCACUCAGGGCACCAGUGAAAGACAGACGACUGAGACCAGGGACACGCAGCCUGAAUGAAGUGAAGGGGCCACAUUUAGCAUUCCAGGCCCCAGUGAAACACAGACCACUGAGACCAGGGAUACUCAGCCUGAAGCAAGUAAGACCCUUGAAUACCGUUUAUUCAACCACUAUUUAAAACUUCAGUGACUUGUCUCCAAGUAAACAUUGACAUUCCUCAUUAAUUAAUUUCAAACACUACUGGUCUAUUAUACUCUAUAUGCUGGUCUAUAGUAUAUCUUCGUUCUUCCUGAAGUUUAUUACUUAUUUUGGUAAAUAUCCUCGAACAUUUUUUGAAGCAUUGUGUAAGGGUGGGGUUGCAAAACUCAAUCUCUCCUAGGGCAACCAAAGGGCUAGAGCCGGCCCUGGCUACAAGAAUAAUGAUAUAACAUUGUAACAUCUUUAAAAACCAUUAAAAAAUGUACAGUGAGUUAAUUUCAAAAUGUAGGAUAGUCUUAGGCUACAGUCUACUCAUCAAAAAUUAAAAGAAAGACCUUUACACAAAGGAUCUUAUGCAUGCUAUUCUUAUUAUACAGUCAUUAAAUAUAAGGCCUAUAUAUAUUGAUAAAAAGCUAAAUGUUUUCAUUUCGGUUCAUUCUUGGUUUAAAAAAAAUCCUUCAGCUUCCAUUUGCAGAUCGAAAUGAGAACGGUCCAGCAUUUAGCAAUAAUUAUUAUUAAUUCUGUUAUUAUUCUUGAUUUUUCAAACUGCUAACACUUUGCAUUUUUGAAUAAUGCCUUUACUGUGUGACCAAAAAUUGAGUAUUUUCUGUUUCAGCUGUUUGAUCGCGCUGGUGCCUCGCGCACAUUCAUUGGAAACAGUAGCCGUUCAUCGUGCCAUUCGGCGUGAGCAGCGGUCCACCCUGGCAUGUUUUUGCUAAUUAUGAUUUUUUUUUUUUCGUCGAUACUGAAACACGCGUGAACUACAAAGCCUAUUUUACCUAAUGAAUAAUAUUUAAGCUUGACAUAGGCAACAUCACGAAUAUGGA
rnacentral:lncRNA from 1 species